AACUGGAUCAACAUAUGGUCGUAAAAUGAUGACAGGCUACCUGUCCUCAGUUGGGCUAUGUGCAGGGGAAUGCCGCGUUGGGAGCGUUCUGAGAGCAGCCCAUACCCCUUACCACGAAGAAAGGCGUCAAGGUUCCCGUAACUUUAACCCAAUCCCAUAUAAUGCUGAGUAUAUGGGACACAAGAUGCACAUGGACCAAAAUUAGAAAUUAGUCAUGUUUGGAGUGACUCAUAUGAUUGCUGUAGAUGGAUACAGCAAAAAAAAUUGUUGCAAAUGCUACUAUGCCUGUAAAAAACAAUCUAGCCAUCUAUGAAGAGGUGUACAGACCUGCAGUAACACAUUAUGGAAUGUGGGAUCAACUUCGUGUGGAUCACGGCAAAGAGUUUUACCUGUGCCUCUACAUGCAAGAGACGCUGUCAGAAUAUAGACACAACCAGCAAAGACAGCAAUACCUCCAAACACAGUCAACAAGGAAUCACACAGUGGAAAGGAUGUGGCCAGAAAUUAACAACAGAGUGAAUUAUCCACUUAAGGGGGCCCUCAUCCAGCUACAAGAUCAGGAAGCAAUAGAUAUGGAGGACAGUCUGACAAGGUUCUGCACAUCUAAUCUGACCUGCCAGAUGUGCCAAAUUGGCAUAAACAGAUUUGUGUAAUCAUGGAAUGCUCACAGGAUUCCAGAAAGAGGGAUACCAAAUCACCUAGCAGGGACUGGAACACCAAGAAAAAUCACAACCGAUCUUCUACCAGAUGCCACAGUUGCAGCUGACAUGUAUGACAGGGACAUGGGGUCCUCCCUCACCAGAGUAUCUUCAUUCGGAAGUGAUCCCUUUCUGUCUGAGGCAGACAAAGUUAGAGCAGAGCAGCACGUUGCACAUUAUUAUCCCUACCUUUCAGUUAUUUUUGACAGUGCUGUCAAUUACAACUAUGCUCCCUUCAAAGAGGCCUUGAUCUACCUCAUUGAUGUAACAAAGACUUGUUCCUAAUUUCAUGUGCACUGGAUUGUGAGGAGCCUUGUUACAGAUUGCUGGACAUAUGUGUCUGUGGACACCAUUAUGCAGUUACUACUACAACACUAGAGGGUGUAAGUAUACCCUGAUAGUAUUUACCAUACACGUUUUACUUUAUCUGUGGAUAUAAGUGUCACCAUAAAAAUGUCAACUGACUAUUUUGUUACCAUUAAUAAAUUAUUUUACUGUCAUUGUAUCCAUAUUAGACAUUAUUCACAGGGUCGUUUUAUAAAGAAAAAAUAUUUAUUUUGCUUUUGUACAGAAAGAAUAAUCAGAGACACAUAAUUGUGUAACAAAGUAAGUCCAGCUUUACAACUCUCCACAGAAGAGCCUGUCACAACAUAUUGCCACGUUUAGGCCUACUAGCUCUUAUAAAAAUCACUGUGGGCUGAGAACAAUAAUGUAGCAUAAAAACAUCUUGCCACAUUUAGGCCUACUAGCUCUUAUAAAACUACUGUGAGGUUGGAACAAUGAUGUAACAUAAAACAUUGUUACAUUUUCUAGCUCUUAAAACUCCAGAGCUAAGAACAUCGAGGCAACAUAAAAAACAUCAAUCCUCAAUAUCGAAAUAAUUUAUAACAUGAGAUAACAUAAGGAUUGGUGGCAA